rnacentral:rRNA from 1 species
CACGUAGGGGGCGAGCGUUGUCCGGAAUUACUGGGCGUAAAGGGCGUGUAGGCGGCCGAUCAAGUCAGGUGUGAAAAUCCAGGGCUCAACCCUGGACGUGCACUUGAAACUGGUUGGCUUGAGUGCAGGAGAGGAAAGUGGAAUUCCCAGUGUAGCGGUGAAAUGCGUAGAUAUUGGGAGGAACACCAGUGGCGAAGGCGACUUUCUGGCCUGUAACUGACGCUGAGGCGCGAAAGCUAGGGGAGCAAACAGG